rnacentral:piRNA from 1 species
UUCUUCGAAGAUCUUCAAGGG